GAAAUUUCACAAAAGAGAGAGAGAGAGAGAGAGAGAGAGAGAGAGAGAGGAGAGAGAUACAGAGAGAGAGGGAAGAAGAAAUCCUUCCUAGCGAACACUCGGUAGGAAAUCAAUUUCCUCAACGAAUUACAGCGGUGGUGAGAUCGUUAUUCGUGACAUUGUCGCUGCUUGUAGAAAGUGAUCGAGAUCUCGAUAGUUUCAGCUCAGACUGUGAGCUGAGAAAGUUAAGUUUCCCCUGUCACGGUGCGAAAGGUGCAAUGACACGUGUACAGUUUUUGAAUAGUUUCCUUAUAGUUGUUCAGACCUGCUGCGUUCUUUGCAUCAUUUUAGAUUCGAAUUUAGAUUGAGUAAAAAA